rnacentral:rRNA from 1 species
GACGAACGCUGGCGGCGUGCCUAAUACAUGCAAGUUGAGCGCUGAAGGUUGGUACUUGUCCCGACUGGAUGAGCAGCGAACGGGUGAGUAACGCGUGGGGAAUCUGCCUUUGAGCGGGGGACAACAUUUGGAAACGAAUGCUAAUACCGCAUAAAAACUUUAAACACAAGUUUUAAGUUUGAAAGAUGCAAUUGCAUCACUCAAAGAUGAUCCCGCGUUGUAUUAGCUAGUUGGUGAGGCAAAGGCUCACCAAGGCGAUGAUACAUAGCCGACCUGAGAGGGUGAUCGGCCACAUUGGGACUGAGACACGGCCCAAACUUCUACGGGAGGCAGCAGUAGGGAAUUUUCGGCAAUGGACGAAAGGCUGACCGAGCAACGCCGCGGGAGUGAAGAAGGUUUUCGGAUCGUAAAACUCUGUUGGUAGAGAAGAACGAUGGUGAGAGUGGAAAGCUCAUCAAGUGACGGUAACUACUCAGAAAGGGACGGCUAACUACGUG